rnacentral:rRNA from 1 species
UACGUAGGGUGCGAGCGUUAAUCGGAAUUACUGGGCGUAAAGCGUGCGCAGGCGGUUCGUUGUGUCGGCGGUGAAAGCCCCGGGCUUAACCUGGGAACGGCCGUUGAAACUGGCGAACUGGAGUGUGGCAGAGGGGGGUGGAAUUCCGCGUGUAGCAGGUGAAAUGCGUAGAGAUGCGGAGGAACACCGAUGGCGGAAGGCAGCCCCCUGGGCUAACACUGACGCCUCGAGGCACGAAAGCGUGGGGAGCAAACAG